rnacentral:lncRNA from 1 species
CAAGCCUGGUGAAGCCAGCCCGUGGCCUUCGGUUCGGCUUUUCCAAACAUGCUUUGUUAAGGUGAGCGUCAUUGAGAAGCAGAUGAAAUGUCCCACCUGCUGCUGGUUUGAUGCAUUCUUUCUGAUGAGAAGGAUGAAGACUGUGUCUGACAGAGCCAAACUUAAAAAAAAAAAAAACAAAAAAACCCUUUGAGGCAAUACACUCCAGUUAAGAAUCGGUGAAGAAUGUCAGAAACGGCGUUAUGGCAGAUACGCAGUCCAUGAAACCCUGGUGCACGAGGACUUGAGAGGCUCAGUGAAGGUGCUGUUGGGUCCUUUCCUUGCCUGCUGAUGAGAAGAGCAAAAUCUCGGUGCGGUGUUGAUGCAGACACUGCAGCUGUGAGAGUCCAGACGUGCUAAGCUCUACCUGUCGUGCCCUCUUUGCGCCUCUUGGGGCGGAUUAGCUUGCCUGCAGUGCAUCCGUCUGUCUUGCUGCAGCAGAGCUAUGUGCAAAUAUAUUAUCUGACGAAGGCACGCUGUGUUGUAUGCUGCUCUUCGAUUAAGAGAGGCGUGAUGGGAUGUAGGGGCAAUUCAAGACUUGGCAAAGUGUCUGUACCGCAAACAGGAGAAUGGCAGAGGAAAAUGCCCUGA